AUACGGAGGACGCGAGCGUUAUCCGGAUUCAUUGGGUUUAAAGGGUGCGCAGGCGGCCGUGCAAGUCAGCGGUGAAAGCCCGGGGCUCAACCCUGGAAGUGCCGUUGAUACUGCAUGGCUGGAAUGCGGUCGAGGCGGGCGGAAAGCGGCGUGUGGCGGUGAAAAGCCUGGAGAUGCCACAGAACGCCGAUAGCGGAGGCAGCUCGGGAGGCCGGAAUGGACGCUGGGGCGCGAAAGCGUGGGGAGCGAGCAGGAUUAGAGGCCCGGGUGGUCCACGCCGUAAACGAUGGGCGCUCGUCGUCGGCGGCAGACAGUCGGCGGCCAAGCGAAAGCGAUAAGCGCCCCACCUGGGGAGUACGGGCGCAAGGCUGAAACUCAAAUGAAUUGACGGGG
rnacentral:rRNA from 1 species